rnacentral:rRNA from 1 species
AGAAUCAACGCUGGCGGCGUGCCUAACACAUGCAAGUCGAACGAGAAAGUGGAGCAAUCCAUGAGUAAAGUGGCGCACGGGUGAGUAACACGUGACUAACCUACCCUUGAGUGGGGAAUAACUUCGGGAAACCGAGGCUAAUACCGCAUAACGCCUACGGGUCAAAGGAGCAAUUCGCUUAAGGAGGGGGUCGCGGCAGAUUAGUUAGUUGGCAGGGUAAUGGCCUACCAAGACGGUGAUCUGUA